AGAAAAUGGAGACACCUCUGCUGUUCCUCGCAAACUGACAGCGAUGCAGAGGCAGAGAGCAACACUGUGAAGACACAAAAAAAGUGUCGCUGGUUUCUUUUUAAAUUCUGGAAGAAAUUACACAAACAAAACGUGGCAGAGAAGGAAAUUCCUUCUACGUCUCAUCAGAGCAUCCCGGAUGCUUCUGUUGCUGCCACACCAGCUAAC